rfam:Fervidicola ferrireducens strain Y170 AN618_contig000060, whole genome shotgun sequence.
AACCGCCGGAUGCGGACCCGCAUGUCCGGUGGUGUGAGGGGACGGGGGUUAAUCACCCUCUCCUACUCAAU